rnacentral:rRNA from 1 species
CCUACGGGUGGCAGCAGUGGGGAAUAUUGGACAAUGGGGGCAACCCUGAUCCAGCCAUGCCGCGUGUGUGAAGAAGGCCCUCGGGUUGUAAAGCACUUUCAGUGAGGAAGAACGCCUGGUGGUUAAUACCCAUCAGGAAAGACAUCACUCACAGAAGAAGCACCGGCUAACUCCGUGCCAGCAGCCGCGGUAAUACGGAGGGUGCGAGCGUUAAUCGGAAUUACUGGGCGUAAAGCGCGCGUAGGUGGCUUGAUAAGCCGGUUGUGAAAGCCCCGGGCUCAACCUGGGAACGGCAUCCGGAACUGUCAAGCUAGAGUGCAGGAGAGGAAGGUAGAAUUCCCGGUGUAGCGGUGAAAUGCGUAGAGAUCGGGAGGAAUACCAGUGGCGAAGGCGGCCUUCUGGACUGACACUGACACUGAGGUGCGAAAGCGUGGGUAGCAAACAGGAUUGGAUACCCCGGUAGUC